AUUGAACGCUGGCGGCAGGCCUAACACAUGCAAGUCGAACGAGUGGCGGACGGGUGAGUAAUGUCUGUGAAACUGCCUGAUUGAGGGGGAUCACUACUGGAAACGGUAGCUAAUACCGCUUACCAUCGGAUGUGCUCCGAUGGGAUUAGCUAGUGGGUGGGGUAAAGGGUCACCUAGGCGACGAUCCCUAGCUGGUGUGAGAGGCUGACGAGCCAGACGGGAACUUAGCCACGGUCCAGACGCCUACGGCUGGCAGCAGUGGGGAAUGUUGCGCAAUGGGCGCAAGCCUGAUGCAGCUAUGCCGGGUGUAUGAAGAAGGCCUUCGGGUUGUAAAGUACUUUCAGCGGGGAGGCGUUACCCGCAGAAGAAGCGCCGGCUAACUCCGUGCCAGCAGCCGCGGUAAUUC
rnacentral:rRNA from 1 species